AUUGAACGCUGGCGGCAGGCCUAACACAUGCAAGUCGAGCGGAUGAAGGGAGCUUGCUCCUGGAUUCAGCGGCGGACGGGUGAGUAAUGCCUAGGAAUCUGCCUGGUAGUGGGGGAUAACGUCCGGAAACGGGCGCUAAUACCGCAUACGUCCUGAGGGAGAAAGUGGGGGAUCUUCGGAUCUCACGCUAUCAGAUGAGCCUAGGUCGGAUUAGCUAGCUGGUGGGGUAAAGGCCUACUAAGGCGACGAUCCGUAACUGGUCUGAGAGGAUGAUCAGUCACACUGGAACUGAGACACGGUCAAGACUCCUACGGGAGGCAGCAGUGGGGAAUAUGGGACAAUGGGCGAAAGCCUGAUCCAGCCAUGCCGCGUGUGUGAAGAAGGUCUUCGGAUUGUAAAGCACUUUAAGUUGGGAGGAAGGGCAGUAAGUUAAUACCUUGCUGUUUUGACGUUACCAACAGAAUAAGCACCGGCUAACUUCGUG
rnacentral:rRNA from 1 species